CCUACGGGUGAGCAGCAGUGGGGAAUAUUGGACAAUGGGCGAAAGCCUGAUCCAGCCAUGCCGCGUGUGUGAAGAAGGCCUUCGGGUUGUAAAGCACUUUCAGUGGGGAAGAAAGCCUUGGGGCUAAUACCCUCGAGGAAGGACAUCACCCACAGAAGAAGCACCGGCUAACUCCGUGCCAGCAGCCGCGGUAAUACGGAGGGUGCGAGCGUUAAUCGGAAUUACUGGGCGUAAAGCGCGCGUAGGCGGUCUGAUAAGCCGGUUGUGAAAGCCCCGGGCUCAACCUGGGAACGGCAUCCGGAACUGUCAGGCUAGAGUGCAGGAGAGGAAGGUAGAAUUCCCGGUGUAGCGGUGAAAUGCGUAGAGAUCGGGAGGAAUACCAGUGGCGAAGGCGGCCUUCUGGACUGACACUGACGCUGAGGUGCGAAAGCGUGGGUAGCAAACAGGAUUAGAUACCCUAGUAGUC
rnacentral:rRNA from 1 species